rnacentral:rRNA from 1 species
UCAAAAUGACUAUCAAUAAUGGAUAUCUCGGCUCUCGCAUCAAUGAAAAAUGUAGUGAAAUGCGGUACUUGGUGUGAAUUUCAAAAUUCCAUGAACCAUCGAGUCUUUGAACAUAAGUUGCACUCAAAGAUAUUAGGCUAAGGGCACGUCUACCUAGGCAUCACACAU